GACGAACGCUGGCGGCGUGCUUAACACAUGCAAGUCGAGCGAUGUAGCACCUUCGGGUGUGAAUUAGCGGCGAACGGGUGAGGAACACGUGAGAAAUCUGCCUUCAACACUGGGAUAACUCCGGGAAACCGGGGCUAAUACCGGAUAUGAAACCUGCGGGCAUCCGCGGGUUUGGAAAGUUUUUCGGUUGAAGAUGAUCUCGCGGCCUAUCAGCUUGUUGGUGAGGUAAUGGCUCACCAAGGCGACGACGGGUAGCCGGCCGGAGAGGGCGACCGGCCACACUGGGACUGAGACACGGCCCAGACUCCUACGGGAGGCAGCAGUGGGGAAUAUUGGGCAAUGGAGGAAACUCUGACCCAGCGACGCCGCGUGCGGGAUGAAGGCCUUCGGGUUGUAAACCGCUUUCAGCAGGGAAGAAGCGAAAGUGACGGUACCUGCAGAAGGAGCACCGGCUAACUAUGUGCCAGCAGCCGCGGUAA
rnacentral:rRNA from 1 species